rnacentral:rRNA from 1 species
UACGGAGGGUGCAAACGUUGCUCGGAAUCAUUGGGCGUAAAGCGCACGUAGGCGGCCUGAUAAGUCGGGUGUGAAAGCCCUGGGCUCAACCCAGGAAGUGCACUCGAAACUGUCAGGCUUGAAUAUGGAAGAGGGUCGCGGAAUUCCCGGUGUAGAGGUGAAAUUCGUAGAUAUCGGGAGGAACACCAGUGGCGAAGGCGGCUCUCUGGACAGGUACUGACGCUGAGACGCGAAAGCGUGGGUAGCAAACAGG